rnacentral:rRNA from 1 species
GAUGAACGCUGGCGGCGUGCCUAAUACAUGCAAGUCGAGCGAACGGACGAGAAGCUUGCUUCUCUGAUGUUAGCGGCGGACGGGUGAGUAACACGUGGAUAACCUACCUAUAAGACUGGGAUAACUUCGGAAACCGGAGCUAAUACCGGAUAAUAUUUUGAACCGCAUGGUUCAAAAGUGAAAGAAGGUCUUGCUGUCACUUAUAGAUGGAUCCGCGCUGCAUUAGCUAGUUGGUAAGGUAACGGCUUACCAAGGCAACGAUGCAUAGCCGACCUGAGAGGGUGAUCGGCCACACUGGAACUGAGACACGGUCCAGACUCCUACGGGAGGCAGCAGUAGGGAAUCUUCCGCAAUGGGCGAAAGCCUGACGGAGCAACGCCGCGUGAGUGAUGAAGGUCUUCGGAUCGUAAAACUCUGUUAUUAGGGAAGAACAUAUGUGUAAGUAACUGUGCACAUCUUGACGGUACCUAAUCAGAAAGCCACGGCUAACUACGUG